GAGUGGGGUUGGGGGCGGCGCUCCGCUUCCUGACCCGACUACCGGCUACGAUCUUUUCCGUCGUUUCCUCCAGCUGCAUCUGUUCCCCGCUUCCCGCCUCCCUUCCUUGUCUCCAUUCUCCUCCUCCCUUCCUUGCUUCGCCUCCUCCCCCAUCCUUCCUCCCCGCCCUCCCUCCAUCGCCUCCUCCCCCAUCUUGCGCCUUCCUUCUCUCCUCCUCCCCUUCUUACUGGGGGAUAGCGUCGCCUUCACAUACACCUUCCCCACUACGUAAACAAUCUCGUUUGGGUGUUGGGUGUGCGUUGAGGUGAUGAAUGAGUUUCCCCGGGGUUGGC
rnacentral:lncRNA from 1 species